AGCUUAUUAAGAGCAAGCGGAGGGAAUUGGCCCAAUGAAGCUUCAGCAACCGACCUUUUGGCACGGUGCUAAAUCCAACAAGUGUGAACUUGGAAAAUAAGAC
rnacentral:ncRNA from 2 species